rnacentral:rRNA from 1 species
GAUGAACGCUGGCGGCGUGCUUAACACAUGCAAGUCGAACGAUGAACCAGGUGCUUGCACUUGGGGAUUAGUGGCGAACGGGUGAGUAACACGUGAGCAACCUGCCCCUGACUCUGGGAUAAGCGCUGGAAACGGCGUCUAAUACUGGAUAUGUGACGUGGCCGCAUGGUCUGCGUUUGGAAAGAUUUUUCGGUUGGGGAUGGGCUCGCGGCCUAUCAGCUUGUUGGUGAGGUAAUGGCUCACCAAGGCGUCGACGGGUAGCCGGCCUGGGAGGGUGACCGGCCACACUGGGACUGAGACACGGCCCAGACUCCUACGGGAGGCAGCAGUGGGGAAUAUUGCACAAUGGGCGGAGGCCUGAUGCAGCAACGCCGCGUGAGGGAUGACGGCCUUCGGGUUGUAAACCUCUUUUAGCAGGGAAGAAGCGAGAGUGACGGUACCUGCAGAAAAAGCGCCGGCUAACUACGUGCCAGCCGCCGCAGUAACAC